rnacentral:rRNA from 1 species
CACUUGUGCCUAGUAGCAAAUGGGUGAGUAACACGUACUUAAUUUGCCCUUUAGAUUGGGACAACUAUUGGAAACGAUAGCUAAUACCGAAUAUUCUUGUUUACAUAAGUAAGCGUAGUAAAAGGGGCGUUUGCCCCACUAAAGGAUAAGAGUGCGUCAUAUUAGUUAGUUGGUAAGGUAAGAGCUUACCAAGACGAUGAUAUGUAGCGGGGUCGAGAGGCUGAACCGCCACACUGGGACUGAGAUACGGCCCAGACUCCUACGGGAGGCAGCAGUAAGGAAUAUUUCACAAUGAGCGAAAGCUUGAUGAAGCGACACAUCGUGCAGGAUGACGGCCCUUGGGUUGUAAACUGCUGUUGUAAGGGAAGAACAACAUUAGUAGGAAAUGAUUAAUGUCUGACGGUACCUUAUUAGAAAGCACCGGCAAACUAUGUGCCAGCAGCCGCGGUAAUACAUAGGGUGCAAGCGUUAUCCGGAAUUAUUGGGCGUAAAGCGUCUAUAGGUG